UACAGAGGGUGCGAACGUUGCUCGGAAUUACUGGGCGUAAAGCGCAUGUAGGCGGAUCCAUAAGUCGGGCGUGAAAUCCCAGAGCUCAACUCUGGAACUGCCUCUAAUACUGGGUAUCUCGAGUUCGAGAGAGGUGAGUGGAAUUCCGAGUGUAGAGGUGAAAUUCGUAGAUAUUCGGAGGAACACCAGUGGCGAAGGCGGCUCACUGGCUCGAUACUGACGCUGAGGUGCGAAAGCGUAGGGAGCAAACAGG
rnacentral:rRNA from 1 species